rnacentral:rRNA from 1 species
CCUACGGGCGGCUGCAGUGGAGAAUAUUGCACAAUGGGCGCAAGCCUGAUGCAGCCAUGCCGCGUGUGUGAAGAAGGCCUUCGGGUUGUAAAGCACUUUCAGCGGGGAGGAAGGCGUUAAGGUUAAUAACCUUGGCGAUUGACGUUACCCGCAGAAGAAGCACCGGCUAACUCCGUGCCAGCAGCCGCGGUAAUACGGAGGGUGCAAGCGUUAAUCGGAAUUACUGGGCGUAAAGCGCACGCAGGCGGUCUGUCAAGUUGGAUGUGAAAUCCCCGGGCUCAACCUGGGAACUGCAUUCGAAACUGGCAGGCUAGAGUCUUGUAGAGGGGGGUAGAAUUCCAGGUGUAGCGGUGAAAUGCGUAGAGAUCUGGAGGAAUACCGGUGGCGAAGGCGGCCCCCUGGACAAAGACUGACGCUCAGGUGCGAAAGCGUGGGGAGCAAACAGGAUUAGAUACCCGGGUAGCC